rnacentral:tRNA from 1 species
GCGCCCGUAGCUCAUCUGGAUAGAGCAUUGGUUUCCUAAACCAAGGGUAGCAGGUUCGAGUCCUGCCGGGCGCACCA